rnacentral:rRNA from 1 species
GAUGAACGCUGGCGGCGUGCUUAACACAUGCAAGUCGAGCGAAGCGAUUUUAAGGAAGUUUUCGGAUGGAAUUAAAAUUGACUUAGCGGCGGACGGGUGAGUAACGCGUGGGUAACCUGCCUCAUACAGGGGGAUAACAGUUAGAAAUGACUGCUAAUACCGCAUAAGCGCACAGUGCUGCAUAGCACAGUGUGAAAAACUCCGGUGGUAUGAGAUGGACCCGCGUCUGAUUAGGUAGUUGGUGAGGUAAUGGCUCACCAAGCCGACGAUCAGUAGCCGACCUGAGAGGGUGACCGGCCACAUUGGGACUGAGACACGGCCCAAACUCCUACGGGAGGCAGCAGUGGGGAAUAUUGGACAAUGGGGGAAACCCUGAUCCAGCGACGCCGCGUGAGUGAAAGAAAGUGUUUUCGGCAUGUAAAAGCUCUAUCAAGCCAGGGAAA